UGGGGAAUAUUGGACAAUGGGCGAAAGCCUGAUCCAGCCAUGCCGCGUGUGUGAAGAAGGUCUUCGGAUUGUAAAGCACUUUAAGUUGGGAGGAAGGGCAGUAAGCGAAUACCUUGCUGUUUUGACGUUACCGACAGAAUAAGCACCGGCUAACUCUGUGCCAGCAGCCGCGGUAAUACAGAGGGUGCAAGCGUUAAUCGGAAUUACUGGGCGUAAAGCGCGCGUAGGUGGUUCGUUAAGUUGAAUGUGAAAGCCCCGGGCUCAACCUGGGAACUGCAUCCAAAACUGGCGAGCUAGAGUAGGGCAGAGGGUGGUGGAAUUUCCUGUGUAGCGGUGAAAUGCGUAGAUAUAGGAAGGAACACCAGUGGCGAAGGCGACCACCUGGGCUCAUACUAACACUGAGGUGCGAAAGCGUGGGGAGCAAACAGG
rnacentral:rRNA from 1 species